rnacentral:rRNA from 1 species
UACGUAGGGUGCAAGCGUUGUCCGGAAUUAUUGGGCGUAAAGAGCUCGUAGGCGGUUUGUCGCGUCUGCUGUGAAAACUGGAGGCUCAACCCCCAGCCUGCAGUGGGUACGGGCAGACUAGAGUGCGGUAGGGGAGAUUGGAAUUCCUGGUGUAGCGGUGGAAUGCGCAGAUAUCAGGAGGAACACCGAUGGCGAAGGCAGAUCUCUGGGCCGUAACUGGACGCUGAGGAGCGAAAGCAUGGGGAGCGAACAG